UUUUUAUUCUUAAAUCUUGAUCUUAGAUAUCAAUUGAAAUUUAACAAUUACUAUUAUGACGUCUAGAUAUUAAUGAAAGGCAACCGAGGUACACGACCGGGGGAACUAACAUUAAUACAAAAUAAUUUGCAACGGUUAUUUAGGUGACUAUACAGAGUAUAAAACCAGUCUGCGGUUGUUAGUUCGAGCAUAGGUCCACGUACUGUGUGAAGUGUUAGUUUCCACAAAAGUGUUUAAGUAAAGAAGCAUGUCUGGCUCCUUUUUAAUCUUUAUGGAUCUAUCACAGACAAAUUGUUUUUUUUUUUGUAAAUCAUAACUAUUAUACACUGAUUAUCGAUGUACUUUCCAAAAUUGAUAUCAAUUUGUAUUUAUUUGUUAGCUUCUAAUUGUUAUGGUAUCAGAGUUCGUAGAGAGGUUCAUUUUCCAGGCUAUAAAUAUUGUGGACCAGGCACAACAUCCGAAAGAAUAAGAAAAAAUGAAACUGCAAUCAAUGGGUUGGAUGAAGCAUGUCGAUAUCAUGAUUUGGUAUACGAUCGAACUACAGCUUUGAAGCAUAGAGUAGAAGCGGACAUCCGGUUGGAAAACGAAGCAUGGUCUCGAGUAAAAGCUAAAGACAGUUCUAGUUGGGAAAAAGCGGCAGCAUGGAUAGUGACUAAUAUUAUGAAGAUGAAACGUAAACUGGGAACUAGAUUACUUAGGAAAAAUUUUAAUCGGACUGGUAGAUCAGACAAUGAAAUUUUAGACCAACGAGAUCCAGCGUGGUAUAAUACACUAAUACUGUAUUAAAUGGAAAUAAUUUCUAUAUAAUACAUUGGGCUUUUCAGUAAAUCCAAUUAUAUGAUAUAUCACUUAAAUUAGGUGUACUUAAUAUAUAUUAUAAUAACUACCGAUGUAUAUUCUAUUGCCCGUCUGCUGCGCCUUACCAUCCGACUUCCAAUUUGAAACUACCUGUAUAUUGUUAAUAUAAUAACUACUGAUGCAUAAACCAUUGCCAGUCUGCUGCGGUGUAUUUGCGUUGCCGUCGAGUGACAAGAACGGUUGGAACCUCUAAAAUUUUAUGUGCGCUGAAAUAACAUAAAGUGUAACUUGCACGUAUUUAUACAGCCAUAGAAUUAAUCGAUUAACCUCAUCUACAAAUAAACGUAGUUAACACGAAUGAAACCAAUUUUUCACUUGAUAUUUUAAUUUUUACUUUAUAAUUUAUUUAUUAUUAUUUACUUAUUUUACUUUAGAUCGUAAUUUAUUAAGAAACUAUUUGUUAUAAUUUAGUUAUAUUACAUUAGUUCAUGUCCAA